GGACCCGCACAAGCGGUGGAUGAUGUGGAUUAAUUCGAUGCAACGCGAAAAACCUUACCUACCCUUGACAUGCCACUAACGAAGCAGAGAUGCAUUAGGUGCUCGAAAGAGAAAGUGGACACAGGUGCUGCAUGGCUGUCGUCAGCUCGUGUCGUGAGAUGUUGGGUUAAGUCCCGCAACGAGCGCAACCCUUGUCUCUAGUUGCUACGAAAGGGCACUCUAGAGAGACUGCCGGUGACAAACCGGAGGAAGGUGGGGAUGACGUCAAGUCCUCAUGGCCCUUAUGGGUAGGGCUUCACACGUCAUACAAUGGUGCAUACAGAGGGUUGCCAAGCCGCGAGGUGGAGCUAAUCCCAGAAAAUUGCAUCGUAGUCCGGAUCGUAGUCUGCAACUCGACUACGUGAAGCUGGAAUCGCUAGUAAUCGCGGAUCAGCAUGCCG
rnacentral:rRNA from 1 species